AGCAGUAGCCGCGGUAAUACGUAGGUGGCAAGCGUUGUCCGGAAUUAUUGGGCGCAAAGGGCUCGCAGGCGGUUUCUUAAGUCUGAUGUGAAAGCCCCCGGCUCAACCGGGGAGGGUCAUUGGAAACUGGGAAACUUGAGUGCAGAAGAGGAGAGUGGAAUUCCACGUGUAGCGGUGAAAUGCGUAGAGAUGUGGAGGAACACCAGUGGCGAAGGCGACUCUCUGGUCUGUAACUGACGCUGAGGAGCGAAAGCGUGGGGAGCGAACAGGAUUAGAUACCCGCGUAGUCCCUGUCUCUUAUAC
rnacentral:rRNA from 1 species